CGAAGACACUAGAAUAACUAGUU
rnacentral:miRNA from 1 species